CUACGGGAUGCAGCAGGCGAGAAAACUUUGCAAUGUGCGAAAGCACGACAAGGUUAAUCCGAGUGGUUUGUGCUAAACGAACCUUUUGACAGUCCUAGAAACACUGUUGAAUAAGGGGUGGGCAAGUUCUGGUGUCAGCCGCCGCGGUAAAACCAGCACCUCAAGUGGUCAGGAUGAUUAUUGGGCCUAAAGCAUCCGUAGCCGGCUCUGUAAGUUUUCGGUUAAAUCUGUACGCUCAACGUACAGGCUGCCGGGAAUACUGCAGAGCUAGGGAGUGGGAGAGGUAGACGGUACUCGGUAGGAAGGGGUAAAAUCCUUUGAUCCAUUGAUGACCACCUGUGGCGAAGGCGGUCUACCAGAACACGUCCGACGGUGAGGGAUGAAAGCUGGGGGAGCAAACCGGAUUAGAUACCCGAGUAAUC
rnacentral:rRNA from 1 species